rnacentral:lncRNA from 1 species
GGUCACCUAUUUGCCAAACCCAAGAGCAAAACAGAAAAUAAAUCAACCCACUGCAGCAAUUUAUACAGUUUACGUUUCUGGAUGCAUAGAGCACGUGAGAGAGAGAGUAGAUAAUGAAUAUAAAAGGGUUUCAAGAGUGUUGGUGAAUGAAAUCAUGAUACAUACAAGUAUAAAUUAGCAUUUACACCAUCUACAAUUCUUACUGGUACAAUGUUUUGUGUCAGUUUGAUAUCCCUCUGGACCCAGGAGUCACUGUAGAAUCCAGAAUAUGCGCAAGAUUGAGUCCUUUUGUCUCAAUCUCACAGUUUUUGGCAGGUUUGCAAGUCAUUUUAGCCUCUGUCAGCCAAGAUGGAAUACUCUAUUGGUGCAGUGACAUAAAUAUCUUAGUUUUCAGUAAUACCAACAUGGCUCCCUAUAUGAUGUUCUUUAAACUUAAUUUGCAAGAGAAGGAUCAGCUGGGCAUGGUGGCACACACCUGUAGUCCUAGCUACUGAGGAAGCUGAGGCAGGAGGACCGCUUGAACCCAGAAGUUUAAGGCUGUGAGAGCUGUGAUUAAGUAACAUUCCUAAAGACACAUACCAGGAAGGAUCAGAGCUGAGUUAAAAUUUGACCAAAAUCUAUAUCACCUAUGUCUGGGUCUACGUUCUAAACCACUUUCUGUUAAUUGAACAGUAGAUGUUUUUCUUUGUGAUGGAUGUUAUACUUCAAUAUGCCUCAAAUGUUUUUGACAUAUUAAUUAAAA